CAAUCCAAAUAUCAACUACCCAUAAACAUCUAAGCCUUAGAAUAAAAGACCCAUCAAAUACCCAUACUAGGGUUGAGCCACAACCCUAGCUAAUGGGUCAAGCUACUCAUAAUAAUGAAAGAAAUCAGGAAAAUAGAUGAAGAAUAACCCAUAAGAUUUAAUUACAAACUAAGAUAAUGAAGAUUCAGUGUUAAAGUAGCUACAAAUUACUCAAAAUAGAACAAAACAGCCGUUCACGUGCUAUGGAGUCUAACAUAUUACAAAAGAUACCCUAAAAAUGUGAAAAGAAAGUAUUUAUACUAGACCGAAUUUUCUGGACAAAAAUACCCCUGCGGAGGUACCGCGGACUGCGGAAAAUGCAUCGCGGAUGCGGUGAGUCUUUUUGGCUUGAAUAUUCACUAUUUGAAUUUGGCCACCGCGGCCCGCACAAAAAGCACCGCGGCCAUGGUGGCUUCAUUGCGGUCCGCAUAAAAUGCUCCGCGGAUCGCACUGGCUUCAAUUGUCCAAACUUCUAACUCUCUGAAACCCCUUCUUCGCGGACCGCAUAAAAGGGAUUGCGGCCGCGAGAAAACCUUCGUGGACCGCACUGCUUUAAGCUCCAAAUUUGCACCUCUCUGAAUCUCCUCACCGUAGACCGCACUAAAUGGAUUGCGGCUGCAGUGGGUCUGUUGCAACUAUGCUUUGACUUGUUUUUGGUACUUGUGCAUGCUUCACUCCUUUUUGAGUUGGUUUUAACUACUUGUCACCUUUUUGACCAAACCCUGCAAACAAGCACAACAUGUAAGCCUUUGGGACUAUUUUUACACAUUUUUAACCAAAACUCAAGUAAAAUGGAGUAUAAAAUGAAUUAGAAUCCCUAGUUAUCAGUAAAGGAGAUUCCACUUCCGUGGUAGAAGAGACACCACCAACAGUUAAAAAGAUCCUCGAGUCUUGGCUAACCGACACGCUAACUAGCGUCCUCCAUAAAUCUGUUCAGGAUAUGGUUGCAGAAAAUGCAAGGACUUGCGUUAUACCACCAGCGGAUGAGCAGCGGGACCAGUUCCCUCCUCUCACGAUAGGUAUUACUUACAAUAUUAUUAAUAGUGCAGGUGACGACACCCUCGCCUCCAUUUUGAAAAGGAUGGAGAAAAUGGAGAACGAGAACAAAGUACUUCGAGACCAAAUGAGAGAACACCGGGAAAGGGUCGAUAAGAUACCCGGUGCCCCAAAGCUCUUGCUAAAAAGAGAUGUUGAUCGGUUCGUCGAGAAUCCAUACAUUGAUGACGCCGCCCCGUAUGCCAUACCAAAAACCUUUAAGAUGUCGCCCUACCUGAAAAUAUAUGAUGGUACGACCGAUCCCGAAGACCAGGUAACUCAUUACGCCACCGCCGUGAAAGGUAAUGACCUCGCCAAGGAACAAGAAUCCUUUAUUUUGUUGAAGAAAUUUGGCAAAGCCCUCAUGGGAGGUACAUCUACAUGGUAUUCACAACUUCCUCGUGUUCCAUUGAGACCUUCGAAGAGAUGGCCGACAAGUUCGUUACGGCCCAUGCUGAGACCAAAAGGCCGAAGCAAGAGUAAACGACAUAUUUUCCAUCAAACAGUCUCUAGGAGAAGGAUUGAGGGACUUUCUCACCCGUUCCAACCGAGUAAGGAUGACCUUGCCAAAUGUAACGGAAGUGAUGGCGGUUGCAGUGUUCCAGAAUGGGCUGAGCAGAAAUGGUUUAUGGGAAACUAGAAAAUUAUUAAGUUGGCUUAUGAAAUACCCCCCAACUACUUGGGAUGAAAUACACAAUGCAUAUUUCAAUGGUCCGAGAAGAUGAGGACGACCUCAAUAGUCCAACUCAUCGAUUGACCUCGGUACAAGCCGAAUCUAGAAAAGAUCGAAGAAAUGAUAUCAGGAGGGACCUAGUAGCUGCACGACCCAACCGAGAAUGACAUUUACCAUAUGUCAGAAGCGCCAUUGUGCCUUCCUCCCACCACGAAGAGGACCCACCCAGAUCAAAGACAGGGACUCACCGGAAUGAAAGAGGUAUGCCCUUUUUGUUAUCUGCUCACAUUUUUUGUGUAUCACCUAUAAAAAUAGUCUACUCCUUGGAGAAGCUCGGACCUAAGGGGAAGUGGCCGCAAAAGAUGAGAUCAGACUCGAAUACUAGAAAAUUAAAUGCCCUUUGCGAAUUCCACCUAGAGUGAGGACAAAAACUUAGGAUUGCAUCGCUUUAAGGAAGGAGGUCGUAAACAUGCUAUGACAGGGACACCUCAAAGAGUUGUUGAGCGACCGAGGAAGGACCAAUUUUGCUAGAGGACGUUAACAAUAUCAAGGACUACCAAAAUCACUCUCGCCAACCCGUACCAUCUAUAUGAUCAUUGGCGACAAUGACGAUGCCUCUAUAAACAGUGUGAAAUUCACCAUAAGCCACAAUUUCAAACGGUCAAUCACCCAUGAACGGUAUGACGAAUUUAAAGAAAGUACCAUCUUGUAUAAGUCGGAUACCGACGGUUUGGAUUUCCUUCACUAUGAUGCCCUUUUUAUCACUUUAAGAAUUUUACAUAUCGAUGUGAGACGCAUUAUAGUAGAUGUGGAAGCGGUGAGUGCAUUAUCCACCCUCGAGUACUUGCACAAAUGAAACUCGAGGAUAAGAUAGUGUCGCACUGCAUUAUGCUAACGGGUUUUAAUAAUGCAGUUAAGCGAACAUACUGUGAGAUCACACUCCCCGUCCUAGCUGGUGGAGUCGCUCUGGAAACCACAUUCCAUAUCAUGAACCAAGAAACAACAUACAACGCCAUAAUAGGGCGAUCAUGGAUACACACCAUGAGAGCCAUCCCCUUCAGCUUGUACCAAGUCAUUAAAUUCCCAACUCCAUGGGAAAUAUUCAGUAUACGAGGGGAACAACGCACAUCCCAGGAAUCCUACCACAUCGCUCUAGAUUGUCUGGUCGCUCAACAAAUGAAGGACAAAGAAAAAGAGGCAUAGCAAUCAAUUGGGUCGAGGUCGGACGAGGAAGUCAUCAAAGACCCCGAUAUGGUCGAAGUUGUAGAAUCGACCAUAGAAGACCUCGACCCCGUUCAAUUAGAUGGCAACAACCAUAGCAAGAAAUCUUACAUCAGCAGCAAGCUUCAAGAACUAGGUAAAUUUCGUCAAUUCUUAACAACUAAUACGGAUUUAUUUGCUUUUAGCCAUGCAGAUAUGCUAGGUAUCCCGAAGGAAACCACCACACACAAGCUGAAUGUCGACCCACUUCACCCCCGGUGAGACAGGUCCAGCUCAAGUUCAACUCUGCAAUCAAUGACGCGGUACAUGAAGAGGUCGGAAAAUUAUUGGAAAAUGGCUCCAACAGGGAGUCAAAAUACCCCUAAUGGAUUGCCAAUGUGGUCAUGGUGAAAAAAAAUGGCAAGUGGUGAAUGUUCGUGGACUUUACAGAUUUGAACAAAGCAUGCCCCAAAGAUUCAUUUCCUUGACCUCAUAUCGACCAAAUCAUCAAUGCGACGGCGGGCAUGAACUGCUGAUUUUUUUGGACGCCUACUCAGGCUAUAAUUAGAUCCUCAUAGAAGAAGAGGAUCAGGAGAAAACCACUUUCAUCAUCCAUCAGGGGACGUACUGCUACAGAGUCAUGCCCUUCGGACUGAAAAACAUAGGAUCAACGUACCAAAGUUUAGUAACAAAGAUUUUGAAAGACCAACUCGGUAAAACUAUGGAAGUCUACAUAGACGACAUGUUGGUAAAAUCCAAAAGGAAAGAAGGCCACAGAGAUCACUUGAGAGAAACCUUCGACAUACUUAGGCAAUAUAGAAUGAAACUAAACCCCGAAAAGUGUGCAUUCGAUGUGGCUUCAGGAAAAUUCUUGGGCUUCCUAGUGUCACAUCGAGGUAUCGAGGUCAACCCCAACCAAAUCAAAGCCAUCGAAGGGAUACCAGAGCACUUGACCACCAAAAACAGGUUCAGAGGUUGACUGGCCAUAUCGCCACUCUUUCAAGGUUCAUUUCACCAUCAUCUGAUAGGUGCCACAAAUUCUUGGCGUACUUAAAAAGGAUAGCGACCUCCAAUGGACCUCUGAGUGCGCCCAAGCCCUGAAGGUGUUGAAGGCUUACUUGUCGUCACCAUCAUUGCUUUCAAAAUUGGAACCAAGGAAGUGCCUCAUCGUCUACCUUGCUAUAUCUGAAGUAGCUGUGAGUGCAAUCCUGGUCCGAGAAAAUAAAUGUACGCAGUCUCCCCUCUAUUACAUUAGCAAAACACUAGUCAACGCUUAGAUGAGGUACCCUCACCUCGAAAAAUUGACCCUGGCCUUGAUCGUAGCUUUACAAAAGCUUAAACCCUACUUCUAGUGCCACCCCAUCUCGGUAGUCACAACUUUCCCCUUAAGAAGUAUUUUGCAUAAACCCGAGCCAUCGAGCAGGUUGGCCAAAUGGGACAUAGAACUAAGCGAGCAUGAUAUCACAUAUUAACCGCGAAUAGCGAUAAAGUCACAAGUUCUUGCUGACUUCAUCAUCAACUUUAGCACAAAAAUAAUACCUGAAGUAAAAAAAAAAGCUGCCCACGCUUCUCCCCAAACACAAGACCUCUGGGUCUUGUACACCGACAAUGCUUCUAAUGCGUUAGGGUCCGGAUUAGGACUCAUACUCGAUGUUCCGAUCGGCAAAAUGAUUCUCCAGUCCAUAAGGUGCCCGGACAUGACUAACAACGAGGUCGAGUAUGAGGCCAUAAUUGCAGGGUUAAAGCUAGUACUCAAAUACGGGGCAAGACGGUAAAAUGAUGCUGCGAUUCUCAACUCGUAAUCAACCAAGUCACAAGGACUUUCCAAAUAAAAGAGCAAAGGUUACAAAAAUACCAGAUCGAGAUCUGUAAGCUACUGUCCGAGUUUGAUGAAUGUCAUCUCGACCAUAUCCUCCAAGCACAGAACACCAAGGUAGACGACCUCGCCAAAUUAGUAGCAGCCACCAAAAACAUUACAACCAGAGAAAGAAAUGUGGUCCACCUCCUCAACUCAUCGAUAGAUCAAAUCGAGUUAAGAUCCAUAAACUUCACUUGGGACUGACACAACCGUAUAUUACAUAUUUUCAGGAUGGCGUACUCCCGGAUAAUAAAAAAAUCCAAUAAACUUCGAAUGCAAGCAGCCAGGUACAACAUCGUUCAUAACGACCUUUACGAGUGGACGUAUGGCGGCCCCCUGGUGAAAUGCUUAGGCCCAAAUCAACGCGGCGCGUUCUUAAAGAGGUCCAUGAAGGGCAUUGCGGAGCUCAUUCCGGCAAUCGAGCUUUGGUCAAAUGCCUCAUACGGGCAGGAUAUUACUGGCCCACCAUGAAAAAAGAGGCCGUAGAUUUCAUAAAAAAUAUGAGCAGUGCCAAAAGUACACCACAAUGAUCCACCAAGAAGGCGAGCACCUCCACUUAGUCACUUCCCCUUGGCCAUUCAUCAAAUAGGUAAUGGACAUCGUAGGCCCCCUCCCCGGGGGGUGAGGUAAUGUACGAUUUCUUUUGAUUUUAAUUGACUAUUUUUUUAAAUGAGUAGAAGCAGGAGAAUUCGCCCAAAUAUGCGAAUAAGAAGUGAUCGCCUUCAUAUGAAAAACAUCGUAUGUUAUUUCGGCCUUCCCAAAGAGAUCAGUUGCAACAAUGGACCCUAAUUUAUAGGGAAAAAAAGUUGCCGAAGUUUUUGAGAAAUGGCAUAUCAAAAGAAUACUCUUAAUACCGUAUCACCCCGUGGGUAACGGGCAAGGAAAGUCCUCCAACAAAUUGAUACCGAACAUCACGAAGAAAUAACCCGAAAACGCCAAGGGGUUAUUGCCGGAAUUAUUACUAGAAGUACUCUGGGUCUAUUGAACAAUGCCGAAGACGAGCACAUGAGAGACGCCUUACUCAUUAGUCUAUGGGACUGAUGUUGUAAUACUGGUCGAACUCAGAGAGCCUAGUCUGAAAUACCCUCACGAGAGCGGGCCGAGGAACGAUGAAAGCAAAAGGCAAGAGCUCGAUGAAGGUAUAUAGCCUACAUAAGGAUUAUCGCCCAAAAACAACAGGAAUAACGCUAUUACAACAAAAAGGCAAAGGUAAGACCGCUAAAAGUUGGGGGCUACAUGCUCAAAGCAAAAACACAAGCAAGCAAAGACUCACGGAAAGGUAAACUAGGAACAAAUCGGGACAACCCAUACAAAAUCAUGGCAACAGCAAAUAAAGGGUCAUUCCAACUAGAAAAAAUGGAAAGAAAACUACUACCAAACAACUAGAAUAUCACCCACCUCAAGUACUUCAACUUUUAAGAAAAAACAUCCUCCAAGUCGUACUCUUUUUUCCCUCACUUGAGUUUUGUCCCAAUUGGGUUUUCUCGAGGAGGUUCUUAAACGAGGCGACGAGGGGACACUUCAAAUUGAAGUGCGAACAGACGGAGUCACAGGACGGCUAGUUCAUUGCUUGACCUCUCAAUAUACUUCUCCAGAUCGACCAAUGAAGGGACUAGAUAGACUGGGACUGAAAUGCCAGCCAACACUAGAUAGACUGGGACUAGAAUGUCAGCCCGAAAAGUGUGUAAAUUUCUCCAAGUGUAUGAACAAAGCACAAAUGCAUGAAGUUUAUCCAUAUUUUCACCAUACAAAUAGAUAAAGCAAUGUUUCCUCAAUACCUAUUCGGCCCUCGGCCAUAACAAAAUUUAGGUUAUAUUCGACCUCAUUCGAAUCAACACCUAUUCGGCCCUCGGCCAUAACUAAAUAUCGGUUAUAUUCGACCUCGUUCAAAUCAACACCUAUUCGGCCCUUGGACAUAAGUAAAUAUCGGUUAUAUUCGAUCUCGUUCGAAUCAACACCUAUUCGGUCCUCGGCCAUAACUAAAUAUAGGUUAUAUUCGACCUGGUUCGAAUCAACACUUAUAUGGCCUUCGGGCAUAACUAAAUAUAGUUAUAUUCGACCUCGUUCGAAUCAACACCUAUUUGGUCCUUAUCCAUAACUAAAUAUAGGUUAUAUUCGACCUCAUUCGAAUCAACACCUAUUCGGCCCUUGGCCAUAACUAAAUAAAGUUUAUAUUCGUACUCGUCCGAAUCAACACCUAUUCGGCGUUCAGCCAUAACAAUUCUAAAUAUAGUUCAAAUCAACACCUAAUCGACCCUCGUCCAGAAAUAAACAUGCGAUAUGUUCUACCUCGUUCGAACUAACACCUACUGGCCCUCAGCCAUGAUCAAAUUGAGGUUUUGUUUCAACCUCGUUCAACCUACUUGAGCUAAGUUGUUAUCACACCUCCGUUUUCUACCCCUAAAGGUAUAGGGGAGUAUUUCCCAAUUUAAGUAACAAUCGAAACGAGAUUAUUUAAUUAAAAUUAGAGUCGCCACUUGGGUUAGUUUAUGGUGUCCCAAGUCACUAGUUUAAAUCCCGAAUCGGGGAAAGAUUGACUCUCUUUUACAGUCCGCAAAUACAAAAAUCCGGGUAAGGAAUUUUGUUAACCCGAGAGAAGGUGUUAAGCAUUCCCGGGUUCUGUGGUUUUAGCACGGUCGUUCAACUGUUAUUAUUUGCCUAUUUAUUUGAUUUUAAAAUAUCUUUGAAACCUAUGUGCAUUUUUAUUCCUUUUAACCAACUUUUAAUAACCCAAAUAUUUUAAUAAUAUUUAUUUAAUUACACGUUUGUGAAUCAUGUCAUGGGAACCGUACCCACGAUCCACAACGUGUUUAUUUUAUUAAAAAAAGAUUAAACUGUAGCUGGGUCACAUAAAUGUACCCUUGGACUUUUAGAAAUUAAAUGUCACGACCAUGUCACGGUAACUGUACCCGUAGCUAUGACAAUUUAUUUAAUUAACGCGCCUAAAGCAAAACAACGAGAGUUCAAGGCAUUUUCUACAUUAAUUAAGAUAAUUAAUAUGAGGGUCAUAGAUUGUGGAUUUUGUUUGCGUAUGGCACACCUCAAUUUAUUUUAAAGGAAAAGAAUUGUAUUUGGAUAAGGCAAACCAAAAAUACUCCAACUUAUAUCUAAUUUAAAACUAAAUAUCACAACCACGUCACGGGAACCGUACCUGUAGUUGUAAUAAUAUAAUUAAGUGCCUAAAGCAAGCUACGACGUUUGAACUAUUCCCUAAAAAAAACUAAAAUCGAACGAGACAAAUAAUUACCUACAUUAAAUUGAUCAAAACUGCUCCUACCAAUUUGAGAUAUCCAGCUUAACGGAAGGGAAAGGGAUUAGACAUGAUUAAUGUAGAAUUUUGUGAACACCUGUGAGUAUUUCCUCGUAGCAACUUUUAACCAAAUUGUCAGAUACAUGAAAUGCAAUGACAACUAAAUUUGUAAUCUACAUGUAGCAUUCUGGAUUCAGCAAUUCAUUUAGAGAAAUCAAAUUGGUAAUACCAAUAUCCGACUGAACAAUUAGUAAAGCCAAGUCCAACAGGCAACACCUGAACAAGUUAAACCAAAUCUACUAGCAACAGAGCAAAAAUAUAAAUCAGAACCAACAGAAGGAACAGUUUAAGCAUUCUUUGACUCGAUCCGUGUCAAACUCCUACGGUCAUUCUUAGCCAAAUUCAUGAUUCCAGGGCAUUAAGCAAAACUGAAAUAGCAACUUAUGACAAAUGAAAUGGCACUCAAGCACACACAAGGGUUAAACAGGGCCAACUGAAGCAUGGCCAUCCCACACGAUUUAACAGGACCUGGUACCUAAAGUGCAAUGUUUAUCAGAAUGGACAAAGGCGCAUAGCUCAACUAGCAAAUGCAAAAUGAUCUCAAAGGAAACAAAUCCACACUAUUACACAAGCUUCAUAUGAUAUUUUGUUUAAGGAGUUUAGUGAUAGAAUCAUGCUAAAAACAAACAUGAACACCCAUUGAUCCUUCCAACAUGAUCUGUGUCUGCAACUAGCACAUAUGAUCUUUUAAACUAAGAUCAGCACAUGGAAUUGAAGAUAUGAAAAUAAAUUGCAUUGAAUGCAGAAUGACACCUCACUUCCUUGGAUUCUCUAUUAAUGGUCCACUCUACACUCUUACCUCAUACAGUCACAGACAUUCACAGAUCGAAGAUGCAGAAGAAGAAGUAAGACUAGCCAGUGUGCGAGUUACUAAGCAAUUGAGAAAAGCACCUCACAAAAUUUUUGAAAUUCACGAGCCCUCUAAUUCAAGUUUGAACUUCAGCAGCUUCAAACCAACAAAACAUGCGAAAAUGAUCAUGAAAUCAGAGAAAGGGGAAACUCUUCAGUGAUUCAUGUCGAACAUAUUGAGACCAAGACAGAAGAUACAAGAAGAUUAACUUGAAUAUCAAAUCAUAUCAUAUGCAACAGCAGAAGCACAAGAAAAUCUCGUCUUAUGAAGCGAUCGUUCCUUAACAACAUGACAAAAAAUUCUGACCAACAACACUUUGAAAAAAAACAACUGUUCAAGUAAAGAGGGUGAUUCUAGUUUGAAGCUUCUAGUAAAUGAGGAAGAUUUCACAAGAACAAAUCAUUUAUAGUCCAAAAAACAAACAUCACGAGAAUAAGAAUCCUAGAUUCAUGCUCGCUUAAAAAUCACAAAAAGCUGAAGACAUCGUUCAUUUGAAAGCGAUGAAAUCUUGACUCAAUAUAUAUUUCGACCCCGUAAUAACAGUUACAGCAUACAGGGAAUAGAAGACGAACACUCAAACCAGCUUUUAUUAGUUGACCACAUUUAGCACAUAUCAAAUAUCAUUUCCGAAUAUGAAUCGGGACUAAAUGAUAAAUCCAAACUCGACUCCUUCAUGAGGUUUGAUCACAGAACAAAGAACAAACCAUUCUAAAGACAGAAAUCCCAUAGCUCAAGAACAUCUCAAAAACAAAGUUACAUGGGAGAAAAGAUCAAACCUGAAAUGGCAAACUUCUUUUAAUAAUUAUAGACUCAAUAAUACACCUUUUGACUCCAAAUCCUAGCGAGGUUCAGCAGCAAAUCAGCAGGAAAACAGUAGCAAAGCGAAGUCAACGAACUUGAACCUCACGACCAAUCGAUAGACCUUAGUUCAUUUUUCAUGCCUUUGGAACUCAAAGUCCGAUUGAAAAAUUAAGAAAAAUUGUAUGUUCUUCUUCAAACCUUUAAAAGAAACUUUUAGAGAAGAGAAAUGAGAAGAAGAAAAAAAUCCUUAAACCUUUCCUCUCCAAUUUUUUACCCCAAAAUUCUCUGUCCUCUACAAAAUCAGAUGAGGUCCCUUUUUAAAAACGAACAGCUGAUGAAUGUGAGGCUUGGAUUGAGUGAAAUGGAUCCAACACCUCUCACUCAUCCAACGCUCGCCCUCAAGAACCUUCCAUCGCGUGAUAUAGCUCGAAAUCGGGGGAGUCAGGGAGGGGGAAUCUUUUUGGUGUCAGAAACCGUUACACCUAUGUGGCAAGGGGAGAGAGGGGGGAAGCGUGUGAGGUGAGUUAGGGGGUGAACUCGGGCGAGUUUGGGCGAGGCAGAGGUGAGUUUUGGUGAAAGAGAAUAUGAACAAUGAGGGCACCGCUUGAGUCUUG
rnacentral:lncRNA from 1 species